GUUAUACAAAAAGUACGAAUAAAUAUAAUUAGUUAUUUAAUUAAAUUAUUUAAUAUUUUUUAUAUAGAUUAAAAAUAUUUAUUAGGUGAAAUUUUAAAUAUUUUUUUUAUUAAUUUUUAUUAUAAUUGAUUUAUGAAAUUUUAGAUUUAAACUAGGAUUAGAUACCCUAUUAUUUAAAAUAUAAAAUAUUAUUAUGCUAGAUUAGUAUUAGUUAUGUUCUUGAAAUUUAAAAAUUUUGGCGGUAUUUUAGUCUAUUCAGAGGAACCUGUUUUAUAAUUGAUAAUCCGCAAUGGACCUUACUUAAAUUUGUUUUUAUAAUUUGUAUAUCGUCGUUAUCAGAAUAUCUUAAAAAAGAAAUUUUCUAAAAUUUUUAUUAAAAAUGAUGUCAGAUCCAGGUGCAGUUAAUAUUUAAGUAAAAAUGGGUUACAAUAAAAUUAUUUAUAUGGCAAAUUUAUUGAAAUAUAAAUUUAAAAGUGGAUUUGAAAGUAAAAUUAUAAAGAUUAUUAAUUUGAUUAUAGCUCUAAAAUAUGCACAUAUCGCCCGUCGCUCUCGUUAUUAAAAUGAGAUAAGUCGUAACAUAGUAGGGGUAUCGGAAGAUGUCUCUGGAAAGA
rnacentral:rRNA from 1 species